rnacentral:rRNA from 1 species
AGUGAACGCUGGCGGUAGGCCUAACACAUGCAAGUCGAACGGCAGCACAGAGGAGCUUGCUCCUUGGGUGGCGAGUGGCGGACGGGUGAGGAAUACAUCGGAGUCUACUCUGUCGUGGGGGAUAACGUAGGGAAACUUACGCUAAUACCGCAUACGACCUACGGGUGAAAGCAGGGGAUCUUCGGACCUUGCGCGAUUGAAUGAGCCGAUGUCGGAUUAGCUAGUUGGCGGGGUAAAGGCCCACCAAGGCGACGAUCCGUAGCUGGUCUGAGAAGAUGAUCAGCCACACUGGAACUAAGACACGGUCCAGACUCCUACGGGAGGCAGCAGUGGGGAAUAUUGGACAAUGGGCGCAAGCCUGAUACAGCCAUACCGCGUGGGUGAAGAAGGCCUUCGGGUUGUAAAGCCCUUUUGUUGGGAAAGAAAUCCAUCUGGUUGAUACCCGGGUGGGAUGACGGUACCCAAAGAAUAAGCACCGGCUAACUUCGUGCCAGCCGCCGCCGUAA